AAUCAACGCUGGCGGCGUGCCUCAGACAUGCAGGUCGAACGAUUAAAGCUCUCUUCGGAGAGUGCAUAGAGUGGCGCACGGGUGAGUAACACGUAAGUAAUCUACCCUCGAGUGGGGAAUAACGUCCGGAAACGGGCGCUAAUACCGCAUAAUGCAGCGGCAUCACAAGAUGACAGUUGUUAAAGAUUUAUCGCUUGAGGAGGAGCUUGCGGCAGAUUAGCUAGUUGGUAAGGUAACGGCUUACCAAGGCUACGAUCUGUAACCGGUCUUAGAGGACGGUCGGUCACACUGACACUGAAUAACGGGUCAGACUCCUACGGGAGGCAGCAGUCGGGAAUUUUGGGCAAUGGGCGAAAGCCUGACCCAGCAACGCCGCGUGAAGGAUGAAGUAUUUCGGUAUGUAAACUUCGAAAGAAUAGGAAGAAUUAAUGACGGUACUAUUUAUAAGGUCCGGCUAACUACGUGCCAGCAGCCGCAGUAA
rnacentral:rRNA from 1 species